GUGCUCGCUUGGGCAGCACAUAUACUAAAA
rnacentral:snRNA from 1 species